rnacentral:tRNA from 1 species
AGGCUUGUAGCUCAGGUGGUUAGAGCGCACCCCUGAUAAAGGGUGAGGUCGGUGGUUCAAGUCCACUCACGCCUA